rnacentral:lncRNA from 1 species
CUGCUGCUGCUGGGGGGGCUCUGCGUGGCCGCCUCGCGCCUGCGGCGGGCCAGGACCAGCCUCGUGCUCGGCGCCGGCAUCCUCUUCGUGGCCGCCGGUAUGACCCCCAAAUCCGCCCCAAAAUCCCCGAAAUCCACCCCAAAAUCCAUCCCAAAUCCAUCCCGGCAUCCUCUUCGUGGCCGCGGGUAUGACCCCCAAAUCCACCCCAAAAUCCCUGAAAUCCACCCCAAAAUCCAUCCCAAAAUCCAUCCCAAAAUCCAUCCCAAAAUCCAUCCCGGCAUCCUCUUUGUGGCCGCGGGUAUGACCCCCAAAUCCGCCCCAAAAUCCCCGAAAUCCAUCCCAAAAACCCCGAAAAUCCAUCCCAAAAUCCAUAAAAAAUCCAUCCCAAAAUCCAUCCCAAAAUCCAUCCCAAAAUCCAUCCCGGUAUCCUCUUCGUGGCCGCGGGUAUGAACCCCAAAUCCACCCCAAAAUCCCCGAAAUCCAUCCCAAAAACCCCGAAAAUCCAUCCCAAAAUCCCCAAAAUCCAUCCCAAAAUCCAUCCCAAAAUCCAUCCCAAAAUCCAUCCCGGCAUCCUCUUCGUGGCCGCGGGUAUGACCCCCAAAUCCGCCCCAAAUCCAUCCCAAAAACCCCGAAAAUCCAUCCCAAAAACCAUCAAAAUCCAUAAAAAAUCCAUCCCAAAAUCCAUCCUGAAAUCCAUCCAAAAACCCAUCCCAAAAUCCAUCCAAAAUCCAUCCCAAAAUCCAUCCCAAAAAACAUCAAAAUCCAUAAAAAAUCCAUCCCAAAAUCCAUCCCGAAAUCCAUCCCAAAAACCCCAAAAAUCCAUCCCAAAAUCCAUCCCAAAAAUCCAUCCCAAAAUCCAUCCAAAAUCCAUCCCAAAAACCCCAAAAAUCCAUCCGAGAAUCCAUCCAAAAUCCAUCCCCAAAAACCAUCAAAAUCCAUAAAAAAUCCAUCCCAAAAUCCAUCCCCGAAAUCCAUCUCAAAAACCAUCCCAAAAACCCCAAAAAUCCAUCCCAAAAUCCAUCCAAAAUCCAUCCCAAAAACCAUCCCAAAAACCCCGAAAUCCACCCAAAAUCCAUCCAAAAAUCCAUCCCAAAAAACUUCAAAAUCCACAAAAAAAUCCAUCCCAAAACCCAUCCCAAAACCCCCAAAAUCCAUCCCAAAAUUCAUCCCUUUUUUUUAAUUUUCCCCCAUUAAAAAAUCUUUUCCCCCCAUAUAUUUUUAAUUUCAAAUUUUUAAUUUCCCCCCAUUUUUUCCCCCCCAUUAACGAAUCAUUUAACCCCUUCGCUGCCAGGCCUGUCCAACAUCGCCGCCGCCAUCCUUUCCAUCAUUCCCCUUUUUUAAUAAUUUCCUUUACAUUUUCCCCCGAUUUUUUUAAUUUCUCCCCAUUUUUACCUCUUUAAUUAAUUUCCCCCCCCAUUAACGAGCCAUUUAACCCCUUCCUGGCCAGGCCUGUCCAACAUCGUCGGCGUCAUCGUUUACAUCAUUCCCCUUUUUUAACCAUUUCCUUUACAUUUCCCCCGAUUUUUUUAAUUUCUCCCCUUUUUUACCUCUUUAAUUAAUUCCCCCCCAUUAACGAAUCAUUUAACCCCUUCGCUGCCAGGCCUGUCCAACAUCGCCGCCGCCAUCCUUUCCAUCAUUCCCCUUUUUUAACCAUUUCCUUUACAUUUCCCCCGAUUUUUUUAAUUUCUCCCAUUUUUUACCUCUUUAAUUAAUUUCCCCCCCCAUUAACGAGCCAUUUAACCCCUUCGCUGCCAGGCCUGUCCAACAUCGUCGGCGUCAUCGUUUACAUCUCGGCCAACUCGGGCGAGGGCUCGGCGGGGGGGGUGGGCGCGGGCGGGGUCCCCUCCCCCCGGUA